UGGCUCAGUGGUAAAGUGUUUGACUCAAAUACAAAGGUCGUGGGUUCGAAUCCCAC
rnacentral:tRNA from 1 species